CAUCUUGCCGGAAUCCACGUGUCGGCAUGGGCGCCGCCAUUUUGCCGGAAACGACGUGUCGGCACGGGCGCCGCCAUCUUGGAUUAGGCAGCACAACACAGCAACCCUAACAGCGAGACCAGAGAGCAACCCUCACACACCAGGACAAUGACAGAACCCUCAGAGAACAACAGACCCACUGCGGCUAGAGAGCAACAGGUGUUUCUGGGCAUCUAAAGCAUAGAGGCUUUGAAGAUUCUGUGAAGUAAACAGCAUGGAAUACAGGGAGUAUUUAGACUCAUGAUUUUGGCUUUUGUGUUUAGGGGUGGUAAAGUGCAUUUGUAAUUUCUGGUUUUGUUCUUGUUUUGUUUUGUAUUUUUUUUUAGGAGGAGCGCAGCAUCCAGAGAUUCCUGGUUGUGUCAAGUACAACACUUUUUUCAGCAGAUUCAUCAUGUCACAAGAGGGAUCCGCCCAGUGUCAAGGAUGAUGUCUGAGAUUGAGGCAUCAGGUGAGUUGAGGAUUGUGAUUAGGAGAAGGAAUGUGAGCAGGCAUACAGUUAGGAAUUAUUGUGGGUGGGGGGAGGUUUGAAGGUAGCAGGGUGAAAAAGGAUGUUUAUUUGAGGACCCCCCCCCCAA